CCAGACUCCUACGGGAGGCAGCAGUGGGGAAUAUUGGACAAUGGGGGGAACCCUGAUCCAGCGACGCCGCGUGAGUGAAGAAGUAUUUCGGUAUGUAAAGCGCUAUCAGCAGGAAAGAAAAUGACGGUACCUGACUAAGAAGCCCCGGCUAACUACGUGCCAGCAGCCGCGGUAAUACGUAGGGGGCAAGCGUUAUCCGGAUUUACUGGGUGUAAAGGGAGCGUAGACGGCAGUGCAAGUCCGGAGUGAAAGCCCGGGGCUCAACCCUGGGACUGCUCUGGAAACUGUAAAGCUGGAGUGCGGGAGGGGCAGGCGGAAUUCCUGGUGUAGCGGUGAAAUGCGUAGAUAUCAGGAGGAACACCGGUGGCGAAGGCGGCCUGCUGGACUGCAACUGACGUUGAGGCCCGAAAGCGUGGGGAGCAAACAGGAUUAGAUACCCCUGUA
rnacentral:rRNA from 1 species